GCAUAAUAAAUACUGGGCUACGCCGGAGUUUCAAAAGAAGAGCACCCAGACAAAGGCAGCUUGAAAGUCUAAGAAGGGUGGCUCAUUGCACACUUGUGGUUCAGUGUCCACGGGGACUGCUCGGAGGAAAUUGUUUCUCGUGGUAGGCCACCCGCUCGACAUGAGCUAUGGAAGAAGACCCAUACGAAAAUCGAAGAUGGAAAAGAAGUUUAGGUUGAGCCACGGGCAGAGGAUACCUAUAAUCGGUAUAAUCAAGCGAUGGAGGAUCUCAUUAGGGAGUCGGUAGGGAUGAUCAAGGCAAUCCAAUC